rnacentral:rRNA from 1 species
AGCCAUGCAUGUCUAAGUACAUGCCGAAACAAGGCGAAACCGCGAAUGGCUCAUUAAAUCAGUUAUGGUUCCUUAGAUCGUUUCUUCCUACUUGGAUAACUGUGGCAAUUCUAGAGCUAAUACAUGCAGUGAGCCCGAAGCCCCUCGGGGCGACGGGUGCUUUUAUUAGACCAAGAUCAAUCGGGCUUCGGUCCGUUUUGUGUGGUGACUCUGGAUAACUUUGUGCUGAUCGCACGGCCACGCGCCGGCGACGUUUCUUUCAAGUGUCUGCCUUAUCAACUGUCGAUGGUAGGUUAUGCGCCUACCAUGGUUGUUACGGGUAACGGAGAAUCAGGGUUCGAUUCCGGAGAGGGAGCCUGAGAAACGGCUACCACAUCCAAGGAAGGCAGCAGGCGCGCAAAUUACCCACUCCCGGCACGGGGAGGUAGUGACGAAAAAUAACAAUACGGGACUCUUUUGAGGCCCCGUAAUUGAAAUGAGUACACUCUAAAUCCUUUAACGAGGAUCCAUUGGAGGGCAAGUCUGGUGCCAGCAGCCGCGGUAAUUCCAGCUCCAAUAGCGUAUACUAAAGUUGCUGCGGUUAAAAAGCUCGUAGUUGGAUCUCAGUUUCAGGCGGGAGGUGCGUGGACACCACGUUACGGCCCGUGCUGGACAUCAUGCCUGUCGCAGCUUGGUUCCCUUCAUCAGGUGCCUUGCUUCGGCCGGCGCGUUUACUUUGAAAAAAUUAGAGUGCUCAACGCAGGCGAUUCGCCUGAAUAACAGUGCAUGGAAUAAUAGAACAAGAUCCUGUUUCUGUUCUGUUGGUUUUUGGAAUACAGGAUAAUGAUUAAGAGGGACAGACGGGGGCAUUCGUAUUGCGGCGCUAGAGGUGAAAUUCUUGGACCGUCGCAAGACGAACUACUGCGAAAGCAUUUGCCAAGAAUGUUUUCUUUGAUCAAGAACGAAAGUUAGAGGUUCGAAGGCGAUCAGAUACCGCCCUAGUUCUAACCAUAAACGAUGCCAACCAGCGAUCCGCCUGAGUUACUCAAAUGACUCGGCGGGCAGCUUCCGGGAAACCAAAGUAUUUGGGUUCCGGGGGAAG